UCGUGUCGCAUAUACGACGACGAACUCCGAGAUCGGAUCGAGUCGCUCGCAUUGCAACUCGCGAGCGUGUGUGGGCGCGCGCGGUGGCGUCGUUACGCGCGGGGAUGGCGACGAGGGCAUCACGACGACGACAACGGCGGCAGCGGCGCGGCCGAUUGGAAGGAGUGGGAAUCGUUUCGAGGAAGGGAGAACUCGCUAUCGCGACAUGGUGGGAGCCGCGAGGUGCGUGCGCGGUCGAGUCGUGCGGGCUGCUGUCAGUGUCAGUUGGUUCGCCGCGGCGACUUGUAGUGUCGUUGACGUGUAAACUGACUCCGUCGCUCUGGUCAACCAACGUUACGUUUUUCCGCGCGCAUCUUGUCCACGUCGUGAAAACCGAAACCGAAAACAAUACUUCUCACGAUUUCCUUCGGCAAUAACGGAACGGCCGGCACGUGAACAUUCCUGCUGACGGAACAGCCGAGGGAGGAAACACCGGCUUGUGGCGCGAAGCCUUUUCCGGCUUCGAAAGCGGUUUGCCCGUCAACGGAGGACGGGCGACUCGAUUCCUCGCGGCUUUAUUCGCACGCGGAAAGCGAAGAGUUCGCGGUUGUUCUCUCGUGACGCGCAAAUCGGCUACUGGUGACGUACGAUUGCGGGUGCGAUUGUUCAGGAAACGUAACGCGCACUUCUCGCAUUAUUCGGCGAUUCUCCGCCCCCAUCAUCGAGAUCAAUACAGUACAUCGAUAUACAGCAAAGCGGUUACGUGUAAGUGCGUACCCCGGAACGACGGGUACGUGCAGUAGAUAGGCAAGACGUUCACGACGGCGAAACUCUCGGACCGGAUAUACAUGUAACAUUUGACCCAUACUCGUAUUGGACAGUACACUUCGAUUUCUCGGCGGAAGAUCAGUGAAACGUGCCGUGACCUAGUGUCCCCGACGACAACAAGGAGGAGAAGACUCGUACACGACGCUCGCUUGGACGGAAGUCUGAUAAUCGUAUGUGCGUCAACAACAUUCAUGCUUGUGUGCGCUGCGCUGUUACGCAAGCCGAAGUUUUCAACCGUAAAGACUGGAC
rnacentral:misc_RNA from 1 species